CUUGAAGAUAAGGGAUUUAUUUUUCUCAUAACUCAAAGAAUUUGGCGGUUAGUUAAGUAUUUAGAGGAACUUGUGCUUUAAUUGAUAAACCACGAUAGUUUAUACCUUAUUUUUAUUUGUAUAUCUCUAUAAUUCAAAUGUUUUUAUUAAAUAUUUUUUUUUUGUGUUUUCUUUAAUAUUAGGUCAAGGUGCAGUUUUUUUAAGGUAAGUAUGAGUUACUUUAGUUUUAUAUUUAAUUUUAAAUAAUUAUUAUUUUUUUAGAGUUAUAGGAUUUAAUAGUAAUUUGAGUUAAUUCACUCUUUUGAAUGUU
rnacentral:rRNA from 1 species